GACGAACGCUGGCGGCGUGCCUAAUACAUGCAAGUCGAACGAGAGCGACCGGUGCUUGCACUGGUCAAUCUAGUGGCGAACGGGUGAGUAACACGUGGGUAACCUGCCCAUCAGAGGGGGAUAACAUCCGGAAACGGAUGCUAAAACCGCAUAGGUCUUCGAGCCGCAUGGCUUGAAGAGGAAAAGAGGCGCAAGCUUCUGCUGAUGGAUGGACCCGCGGUGCAUUAGCUAGUUGGUGAGGUAACGGCUCACCAAGGCCGUGAUGCAUAGCCGACCUGAGAGGGUGAUCGGCCACAUUGGGACUGAGACACGGCCCAAACUCCUACGGGAGGCAGCAGUAGGGAAUCUUCCGCAAUGGACGCAAGUCUGACGGAGCAACGCCGCGUGAGUGAAGAAGGUUUUCGGAUCGUAAAACUCUGUUGCUAGAGAAGAACAAGUGCUAGAGUAACUGUUAGCGCCUUGACGGUAGCUAACCAGAAAGCCACGGCUAACUACGUG
rnacentral:rRNA from 1 species